rnacentral:lncRNA from 1 species
UGGACACUUGAGUUCUUCCCAGUCGCCCCCCCUGCUUCAGGGUUUUGCUUAGAGCAGAGAGGAAACAGCCCUGAGUGACUCCUCUUGGUGAAGGUGCUCGCCCCAGGGGUAGUAAGUUGGCCAAAAAUACUGUCUCGGCGAGCUAUCCCGGACAGUGUUUACACAGCAAAUACUGCUCUUCUCGCCUGGACCCAGAAGGAUAUGGCCCUGAAGCCACAUGAGCGGAAGGAGAAAUGGGAACGUCGUCUCAAGAAGCCCCGGGAGUCGGAAAACUGCCCAUCCUCAGAGCCCAGUGUGAGCAGGCAGCCCCUGGAAGCUGGUAGCCCUGGGCAGGACCUGGAGCCUGCCUGUGACGGAGGGGCCAGAAAGGUCCCACUACAGCCCUCCAAGCAGAUGAAGGUCGCCAAGUCCAGAGGUGGCCAGAACAGCGAUGACGACAGCGUCCUCGAAGCCACCAGCUCCCGGGACCAGCUCAGCGACAGCUCGGCGCAGGCGGUGUCCGGGAGAGGCUACUCUUGUGACAGCGAGAGUGGGGUGGACGACAAGGUAAGCCAGCUGCCUGUCCCCCGACCCAGGCAGGGUGGGCCGGCCCCGGGCUGCGGGAGCGUCACCUUGUGGGCUCCCGGCUUGCAUCCCGGCUGGACACCCAGGCUUCCGGCUCAGAGCUGGUGGGCAUGGAAGCCUGGAUGGAAGGCCCCUGGCCAGUGGAGCCUGGCAGGCAGCACGGGUACUGGGCUCUUGGGCUGGAGCUGCAGACAGCUAGGACAGGGGGGCCCGUGA